GUUUCUGUAGUUGAAGUACAGCGGUAGUUUUUCGAGUUGCGGGUCCAGGUUAAAUUCCUGGCAGAAAUA
rnacentral:tRNA from 1 species